rnacentral:rRNA from 1 species
CUGGCGGCGUGCCUAAUACAUGCAAGUCGAGCGGACCGACGGGAGCUUGCUCCCUUAGGUCAGCGGCGGACGGGUGAGUAACACGUGGGUAACCUGCCUGUAAGACUGGGAUAACUCCGGGAAACCGGGGCUAAUACCGGAUGCUUGUUUGAACCGCAUGGUUCAAACAUAAAAGGUGGCUUUUCGCUACCACUUACAGAUGGACCCGCGGCGCAUUAGCUAGUUGGUGGGGUAACGGCUCACCAAGGCGACGAUGCGUAGCCGACCUGAGAGGGUGAUCGGCCACACUGGGACUGAGACACGGCCCAGACUCCUACGGGAGGCAGCAGUAGGGAAUCUUCCGCAAUGGACGAAAGUCUGACGGAGCAACGCCGCGUGAGUGAUGAAGGUUUUCGGAUCGUAAAACUCUGUUGUUAGGGAAGAACANGUACCGUUCGAACAGGGCGGUACCUUGACGGUACCUAACCAGAAAGCCACGGCUAACUACGUGCCAGCAGCCGCGGUAAUACGUAGGUGGCAAGCGUUGUCCGGAAUUAUUGGGCGUAAAGCGCGCGCAGGCGGUUCUUUAAGUCUGAUGUGAAAGCCCCCGGCUCAACCGGGGAGGGUCAUUGGAAACUGGGGAACUUGAGUGCAGAAGAGGAGAGUGGAAUUCCACGUGUAGCGGUGAAAUGCGUAGAGAUGUGGAGGAACACCAGUGGCGAAGGCGACUCUCUGGUCUGUAACUGACGCUGAGGCGCGAAAGCGUGGGGAGCGAACAGGAUUAGAUACCCUGGUAGUCCACGC